GAUGAACGCUGGCGGCGUGCCUAAUACAUGCCAGUCGAGCGAACAGACGAGGAGCUUGCUCCUCUGACGUUAGCGGCGGACGGGUGAGUAACACGUGGAUAACCUACCUAUAAGACUGGGAUAACUUCGGGAAACCGGAGCUAAUACCGGAUAAUAUAUUGAACCGCAUGGUUCAAUAGUGAAAGACGGUUUUGCUGUCACUUAUAGAUGGAUCCGCGCCGCAUUAGCUAGUUGGUAAGGUAACGGCUUACCAAGGCGACGAUGCGUAGCCGACCUGAGAGGGUGAUCGGCCACAUUGGAACUGAGACACGGUCCAGACUCCUACGGGAGGCAGCAGUAGGGAAUCUUCCGCAAUGGGCGAAAGCCUGACGGAGCAACGCCGCGUGAGUGAUGAAGGUCUUCGGAUCGUAAAACUCUGUUAUUAGGGAAGAACAAAUGUGUAAGUAACUAUGCACGUCUUGACGGUACCUAAUCAGAAAGCCACGGCUAACUACGUG
rnacentral:rRNA from 1 species